rnacentral:rRNA from 1 species
GAUAAACGCUGGCGGCGCACAUAAGACAUGCAAGUCGAACGGAAGUCGUUGUAAUGAUUUUAAAAUGGACUGAGAACUUGUUCAAAGAAAGUGGAGAUUGACUUACAACAAUGGCUUUAGUGGCGGACUGGUGAGUAACACGUAAGCAACCUGCCUAUCAGAGGGGAACAACAGUUAGAAAUGACUGCUAAUACCGCAUAUGCCUUAGCAACACAUGUUGCAAAAGGGAAAGGAGUAAUCCGCUGAGAGAUGGGCUCGCGUCCGAUUAGAUAGUUGGUGAGGUAACGGCUCACCAAGUCGACGAUCAGUAGCCGGACUGAGAGGUUGAACGGCCACAUUGGAACUGAGAUACGGUCCAGACUCUACGGAGGCAGCAGUGGGGAAUAUUGCGCAAUGGGGAACCCUGACGCAGCAACGCCGCGUGAAGGAUGAAGGCC